UAGCAAGGGCCGGGCAAGACCGGUGCCAGCCGCCGCGGUAACACCGGCGGCCUGAGUGGUGAUCGUGAUUAUUGGGUCUAAAGGGUCCGUAGCCGGUUUGGUCAGUCCUCCGGGAU
rnacentral:rRNA from 1 species